UCGUGGGGCAGCAGGUCUGYAGCAAUACAGKAUGCUGGCGACCGGCAAACGGGUGCGGAACACGUACACAACCUUCCUUUWAGUGGAGAAUAGCCCAGGGAAACUUGGAUUAAUACUCCGUAACAUAUAGAAGUGGCAUCACUUUUAUAUUAUAGCAGCAAUGCGCUWGAAGAUGGGUGUGCGGCUGAUUAGRUAGUUGGCGGGGUAACGGCCCACCAAGYCKACGAUCAGUAACUGGUGUGAGAGCACGACCAGUCACACGGGCACUGAGACACGGGCCCGACUCCUACGGGAGGCAGCAGUAAGGAAUAUUGGUCAAUGGACGCAAGUCUGAACCAGCCAUGCCGCGUGGAGGAUGAAGGUCCUCUGGAUUGUAAACUUCUUUUAUCUGGGAAGAAAUCCAUUUUUUCUAAARUGGUUGACGGUACCAGAYGAAUAAGCACCGGCUAACUCCGUGCCAGCAGCCGCGGUAAUACGGAGGGUGCAAGCGUUAUCCGGAUUCACUGGGUUUAAAGGGUGCGUAGGUGGGCAAGUAAGUCAGUGGUGAAAUCUCCGGGCUUAACCCGGAAACUGCCAUUGAUACUAUUUGUCUUGAAUACUGUGGAGGUCAGCGGAAUAUGUCAUGUAGCGGUGAAAUGCUUAGAUAUGACAUAGAACACCAAUUGCGAAGGCAGCUG
rnacentral:rRNA from 1 species